rnacentral:rRNA from 1 species
GGUGGCAAGCGUUGUCCGGAUUUAUUGGGCGUAAAGCGAGUGCAGGCGGUUAUUUAAGUCUGAUGUGAAAGCCUUCGGCUCAAACGGAGAAUUGCAUUGGAAACUGUUUAACUUGAGUGCAGAAGAGGAGAGUGGAACUCCAUGUGUAGCGGUGGAAUGCGUAGAUAUAUGGAAGAACACCAGUGGCGAAGGCGGCUCUCUGGUCUGCAACUGACGCUGAGGCUCGAAAGCAUGGGUAGCGAAC